rnacentral:lncRNA from 1 species
GGGCAGAGAAGUGUGAUAGGCAAGAUUCAGAACUCCCCCUACUGGGUGAGGGUAGAAGCCAGGCUAACUUCCCUGAAGGCUGUGUGAAAAGCUCCACAAACAAACAAACAAACAAAACACAAAAAAGAAGACAACUGGCAAGCAUUCCAUUCACCGACGUUACUUUGUGGUUCCGUGAAUUGCUAGAGCAGCCAAGGACCUGAGGAGGAUCCAGGGUGUGAACCAGAAGCCAGCGCAACCUUCUUUCUCAAUGGAGGCACCUUGUAUCUUACAAAGCAUUCUCUGUGGGUUUUCAUGCAUUUGAGAGAGGCACGUGCUUGCAGCCACUCAUUUCUUCAGCUCCUGUUCCUGCCACAGUAGAGGCUGUGAUCUAUCCAAAUACGUAAUUGCCCUCCUAGCAGAGGACUGUUGUGUUGAAACAAAUCUCCUCGGCAACAAGUUGCGUUCAGUAAAUCCACUAGUCACUCUGAGUCCCUUCCCCGAGUCUCAGAUUCCCUGGGCCCUUGGAAGUCGUGCGUUUGGGCGUGGGGAGCUGGAGAAGGAUGCCUGCAGCUUCUAGCUGAGGCCACUAGCUGCAAGAAGACACUGUUACACAGUGAGGCUUUUCUGGGGAUGUAAGAAAGGCCCUAAAGUCAUGCCUUCUUCUGAUUGUCUGUGAAGAUGCUAGAUCUACUGAGAAAAACCUUUCUUAUCCAAGAGAGAAGAUGACCGGGAAAGCUCACACACAGCAUCUCUCUCGAAAUACUUGACAGACCGCAGCAAACCGCAACCACCCACUACCCAGCCGCCAGCAGCAGCAGGUCCUUCUAUCGGGGCUCUCAAAUUUAUCCAUCCUCUGAGAAGUCCUCAGAAUCCUAAAUGUAACACAUUUGCAGAAACCACACAUCUGCAGCUGGCAAAAGCACGCCCCUGCUAGAGUGCAGGGCAAGUGAUAGCUACUGUGGAGCAGCCCCGGAUCCCACACCUGGGACUAAAACAAAAACGUUCUUAUAUUUCUGUGUUGUAAAAGAAACCAAAAUUCUCACUACAGUUAGUCUAGGGAAAUUUGGUGGAAAAUGUCGAUAAAGAUGACCAUUAAAUGUU